rnacentral:rRNA from 1 species
GAUAAACGCUGGCGGCGCACAUAAGACAUGCAAGUCGAACGGACUUAACCAUUAGUUUACUUUUGGAGCGGUUAGUGGCGGACUGGUGAGUAACACGUAAGCAACCUGCCUAUCAGAGGGGAACAACAGUUAGAAAUGACUGCUAAUACCGCAUAAGACCACAGCACCGCAUGGUGCAGGGGUAAAAACUCCGGUGGUAUGAGAUGGAUCCGCGUCUGAUUAGCUAGUUGGUAAGGUAACGGCUUACCAAGGCAACGAUCAGUAGCCGACCUGAGAGGGUGACCGGCCACAUUGGGACUGAGACACGGCCCAA